ensembl:lncRNA
AGUUGGGAAGGCAAUGAUGAGUAAAAAUUCAUAAAGUCUCUGCCUUCAUAUGGCUUGCAGUCUGUAUUAGUUUUCUGUAGUUGCUAUAACAAAGUACCACAAACUGGGUGGCUUAAAACAACAGUAAUUUACUUAUUUAUUUAUUUACAUUAAGGUGUUGUGUGGUAGAGUUACAAUAUUGUAUUAAUUUCAUGUGUACAACAUAGUAGUUCAGUAUUUUAAUAGAUUAUACUCCAUACAGUUACUAUAAAUUAUUGACUUUAUUUCCUGUGCUGCAUAUUACAUCACUGUAACAUUUAUUUUAUACCUAGUGGUUUGUACUUCUUACUCUCCUUCACCUAUUUGGCCCUCUCCCCACCUCACACUCCUCUGGUGACCACUAGUUUUGUUCUCUGUAUCUAUUAGUCUACUUCUGUUUUGUUGUAUUUGUUUCAACAAUGGAAAUUUAUCCUCGCACACUUCUGGAGGUGAAAAAGUCUACAAUCAAGGUGUUAUUGAGGCCAUGCUCUCUCCAAAGUCUCUUGUCACUCCUAGUGUCUGAAAGGCCCCGUGUUCCUUGGCUUGUGAUGGCAUAGCUCCAAUCUGUCUCCACCUUCACGUGAACAUCUUCCCUCUGUCUUCACAGGUGGUCUCCCUGUGUUCUUUGAGCAAAGUACCCUCUUAACAUCUAAGGUUUUACUCCGUUGGAGCUGACAGACAUUUACUGAAAUCAUCAGAGGAACGGAUACAAAAUAACCAAGAGAGAAGGACUACAGGAGAGAGAAAAAACACAUUCCAACAUCUCACACAAGGAGAAUUUCACCUGGUCUAGAUUCUGGGGGAAGUAUGCUUGGGCUGAGUAAGUGUUAAUUAGGUUCAGAGGGGAGGGAAGAGCAGUCAGCACAUGCAAAACACCCCGAGAGAAGAACGGAUGUAAGUUAAGUACUAGAGACUAGUGGGGCUGGAGUGGAGAGGCCGAGAUGCGGAUGAUCAGUGCUCAAGAAAUUAACCGUUACUGACCAUGCAAGGCCUGGGAUCAGUGCUGGACAUUUGUGUCCUCAUCCUAGGAGAAGCAGGAAGCUAUUGAAGGGUUUAAGCUGUGAUGGGUGUUGGAAAGCCAAUGAUGCCUUAUGGGGACCUUAUCCAGAUAAGGUCUGGUUUGCAUGUCAUAACCAUCACUCCCACCGGAGUGUGGAGAACAGCUGGGGGCAAUGCAGACUGGAUGAGAGCACAUUCAGUCAAAUAGGAAGCGCUGGCAGGUGAGAGAUUGUGUAACUUACCCUGGGGAGAUAGAGCUGGAGAUGUGUAGAAAAAGGGCAAAUUUGGAAAAAAUAUUUGGAGGAUGAAAUAAAGUAGGGGUUGACUAAACAGGACAAUAAUUCGGUUAAGGAUGGCUUGGAGGCUUCUGGUCUGGGUAAGACUGGGGAUGGUUCCAUUGAGAGAGGGAGCCCUGGGAGAUGACCUUCCUUUGAAGUGACAUUAAAACAUCCAGCAGGAGACAUCAGACAGGCGGUUGGAUAUACAGGGCCCCAUUUGUUCAGUAACUGACAUCUUGUACAUCCCCAAACAAUUAUAUAUUAGAUGGGUGUCUGGUUUCCCAUUCCCAUGGUGAGGCUUCCAGGACAGGUUUUAUAAACACAACACAGAUCAUUCCCAUAGUUAUAGCCAUAAUAACUAUAAUUUUGGUAGCUAUAUUGGACAGUGUUUGGGGGAGCCUGCUCAUUGGUAAAAAGGCCCAGUGAGUGUAUUGUUUUUGACAUGGUUAACUGAGGGGACAGGAAUGGCACACAAUUCAGCAAAUUUUAUUUUUUCUAUGAUAUAUAUCACUGAGAUAACACGGUGAGUAGUCAUCUCUACUGUUUUUUGUUUGUUGAUUUUUUUGAAUCAGAGAUCAAGAUUAAAUACUUUUGGAAAAGGCAAGUGAAAUGCUACUUUUUUAAAACUUUACCAGCAUUCUCUUAACCGAAUGUAAUUUACUUCCUUUUCUGCCUUAUGAAAACUUCUACUUUGUCUCACCUAUAAAAUUUCUCAGCAUUUUUCUUCAAACUGGGAGGCCCUUGUAAUUUGAAUAUUAAAAUGUUUGUUGCCUUUUUUCUUGUUGCUCAAAUUUAUCCUGGCUCAUGGGUCAAUGUAUUCCUUACUCAGCUGUUGUGCUCAUUUAUCUCACUAAUUAGCUAGCUCUCUCCUGGAAGAGAGCUCCUGGAGUUCCCAUUGUGGCUCAGCGGUAAUGAUCCUGACUAGUAUCUAUGAGGAUGCAGGUUUGAUCCCUGGCCUUGAUCACUGGGUUAAGGAUCUGGCAUUGGUGUUUCCAUGAGCUGCAUGGUUUGGAUCUGGCAUUGCUGUGGCUGUGGUAUAGGUCAUCAACUACAGCUUCAAUUUGAGCUGAGAAGUUCCAUAUGCCAAAGAUGUGGCCCUCAAAAAAGCAAAAAAUAAAAAUAAAAAAAAGAGAGAGUUCCUUGCUUUUUCUUGGCUGAUAUCUGUCUGUGUUGGGAAGCUCUGCACCGUCUUUUAUUCCUAGAGCUUCUUUUUCCAUCCCACCUUGCUUUGAUUAUUCAGACUUUUUCUAAGACUGAAAGAGAAAGGCUGAUAAUAUAUCUCUUUCUCUCAAGGCUGGCUCUAAUCCUGAGACAAUUUCUUUCUAACUGGGAGAAAAGUUACCUUAGCAACUAAGCAACUAAUUAACUCAAUUAAAUUUCCCCCUCCUCCUUUAUCAAUAUUCAAUUAACAUUAAAUCGCUUCUUUGCUAUGCUCUGUAGUUUUAUAACUCUAUGAGCAAAUAGCUGAAGUGGACCAAGGAUUGCAGGGGGCAGGAUGAGGAAUGUCUCAGAGGGGCCAAAAUGUUCAGGUGAGGACUCAGAACCUGAAGGCAACACCUUCAUUCCCCAACUUCCCUUAGCACAUUUUAAGAUCUUUGGAUGCAAUUUAGAUGCAGCUGUUGGGAAUAGAAGGGGCAGGAACAGAACUCAGAAGUGACCAAGAUUGUUUCUAGCACUCAGUAGAAUGGCAUUCAGAAGCAGAAAUAGGUUGAUGUAAAGAAAAACAAAGUUAUAUGUUUUGCAUUUUGAGUUUAUAGAAGAGAUUCAUAUUACAGUUGUCAAAAAUAAUGGAGGGGCGGGAGUUCCCAUUGUGGUGCAGCAGAAACAAAUCCAGCUAGUCUCCAUGAGGAUUCGGGUUUGAUCCCUGGCCUCACUCAGUGGGUAGGGGAUCCAGCAUUGUCAUGAACUGUGGUGUAGCUUGCAGACACAACUCGGAUCCCACCUGGCUGUGGCUGUGGCUGUGGCUGGCAGCUAUAGCUCUGAUUCCAACCCCUAGCCUGGGAACUUCCAUAUGCUGUGGGUGCGGCCUUAAAAUAAUUAAAAAAUGAAAAAUAAUGGAGGGGAAAUGAAGCAAAUCCUAGCAAAUUUAAAAACUGUUUUUACUAUGAAAGUCAAGUAGUAAAAGAUGGAUUUUCCCUAAAAGAAUCAAAGUAGAAAUGAGUUGGAUUCUAACAUAUUCUGGAAGGUUGGUUUGGAAAUCCACAUAUUUUCCUCACCUUCUCCAAAUGCGGAAACAUUGCUCAGCCAUGAUUGAAUUUGCUUCCUUAACUUCAUUAUCACCAGCCUUAGACAAUUUCUACAUUCUGAACAUGACAUAUACUUCUUAUCUACAUCAUCCUUUCUAGGAGUGAGUGGGAAUAAGAAUAAAUGCAUUUAUUCUCUUCUGUCAAAUUAAGCCUUUAGACGAAAUGUGUGAAUUGAUACAUAAACAUGCAAAAUCAUCUCAUUGACCCUUGUUAGGUGCUUAAUAUCUGUGUACUGAGUACUUCAAUGAUCUCAUUAGGAAUGCUUUAGGAAGUUAAUACUGUAGCCCCAUUAUGCAAAUGAGGGUAUUAAGGCAUUCAAAUAUAUGUACCUGUGUUAAAGGCACACACCAAGUUAGCAAAGAUCUGGGAUUUGGAUCCAGAUCAGUUGAAUGCCAAAGAUAAUUUUUUCAGUUACUAUCCACGCUAUCCACAUGAGCAGAGGAGAGAAAUGAUAUUCCUACUUAAGGACAUACUGUUUAAUGCCCUGUCUAGAGCAACUCUGACCUUGACAAGUUAUCAGAUAAAGAGGAUAUUUCUAGAGGUACAAGUCAAGUGUGUAUUGAAGAGUCUGGUCCUAAAAUUUUAAGUGGUGAGAUUAUUAUAUAAAACAUUUGUACAAAUUGUUUAUGUGCAGCUAACCCUGGGACUCAGGGCUACUGAUUUUAACAAAUAAAAUGACUAGGUGACCAUUUACUUUAAAUUUCAGAUAAACAACAAAAAAUGCUUAGUACAAAGACAUUCUUUGCACUAUUUGGGAUAUACUUAUACUAAAAAAAUUUAUUAAUUAUCUGAAAUUCAAAUUUUACUAGAUGUUCAGAAUCUUAUCAGGCAACCUUACAGGUCUAGGUUCUGUCACUGCUAAGUAUGUGAUUAUUUGUCACUGUUCUGCCUAAUACUGAGCCCUACUACAGUGGCUAAGACCAGAAAAAAAAUCACACAGACUCACACGUGCUGCUCCUAGCAUGUACAUCAUGAUCCAGAGCAGUGCUUGGGAGGAUAGUCCAUGUGGGAAUUUGGCCUUGGACUAGUCUUUUCCAGCACCUCCUUUCUCCUACCUGGAGCUCCUGACUGAAGAGUCACACCUUGGGAUCCAUGCUUGAUUCUCCUGCUCCUUUUCUCUCAUCUGUUUUUCCCCCUGAUCCCAAACAUGCCAGUCAUUGCCUUCACAUUCAGUACCUAGGCACACAUGAGUCUGGAGUUGGAAUUUAGGGCUAGAAAGACUCCUGGAGAUUGUUUCACAAUGAGGAAACUGAGGACCUUAUAG